ensembl:rRNA 5S_rRNA 5S ribosomal RNA
AAACUCAGGACCUUCCUGCUGUGAGGCAACAGGGUGCUAUGGCUUAUGGCUUAUCCUGAAUAUUAAGCAGCGUCGGGCCUGGACAGCACAUGGAUGGGAUACCGCACGGGAAUACCAGAUGCUGUUUUUA